CCCUUCUCCAGCAAGAGGCCUCUGAGCCCUGGGGUAGAGAGGUGAAAAGGAGGGAUGCGUCCUCCAGUGUCAGGAUCUGAGUCAAGGCCCCACUUCCAUGAGGAACAGAAGGGGAAUAGCACAAAAACCCAGGCUGAUCUUCCACUGUGGCACCUGUAACCAGCUCUGCUGUUGUUGUGUAAUCUCUAAGACACUGUCUGACUCUUUUGUGACCUCAUGGACUGCAGCCUGCCACCCUCCUCUGUCCAUGGGAUUCUCCAGGCAAGAACGAUAAGCGGGUUGCCAUUCCCUUCUCCAGGGGAUUUUCCUGACCCAGGGAUCGAACCAUGCCUCCUGCACUGGCAGAAUUUUUCUUCACCACGGAGCCACCAAGAAAGCCCAGGGAAGCAAGCUUAGCUAGUUUCUCCUGAUCUAUUAGCGGGAGCGGCAGCGUUACCUCCACCCAUGCUUCUGCCAGCACAGAGGGUCUCCAAGUGUGGCCUUAAGAGGCCUCCAGGCAGCCUGCCUGCUAAUUCAAAUGGAAAGUAUAGAAAAUGCCUUCUCUUCAAGUGCAAUCUCCAGAGCAGAUCUGAAUCUCUAUUCAAAAGGCCCAAAAUGAACAUUUUCAAAAUUAAUCCAUCUAUGAAAAAACAGGCCAGAGGACUUGAGAGAAAUCAGUUCCAGAAAAACUGGUUUUCCCGUCUGCAGCCUGGAGUGUGAGGACAGGCAGGUUGCAACCCUUCCCUGGACACUGCUUGCCAGCCUGUCUUCCAGGAAUUCCGUGCACAUGGCUUUCUAUGGCAGGGAAAGUGGGGGUUGUCUCACCAGCCACCCACCCCACCACCAAGGUGAUUUCUGGGAAUAUCCUGCCUAAAGAGACUUGGCUCAACAGUCACGGGAAGGACAUGUCAAGACCCGUUGGCCAUUUAUCACCCCAAGGACACUUGCUCUUGCUUCUGCCACUUUACUACGGGCAGGGUGUGGCAAACCGCCUAAGAAGCCUGUCCCCUCAUACCAGCCUGGGCAGCCAGCCUUCCUGAAGACUGCCAGGCCUAGCCUUUCUGGCUCAUGGACUGUAAGGGCUCGUCAUCCUCCAUCUCCACACCGAAGAAUCUGGAAAUCAGGCCCCACUCAGACACAGAGUGGCCAGAACACAGGCAGUGAGCCGGUGAAGCCUGAUUUAAGAUCCAGGUUCUGCCACUCAGAUGAAUUAGGCAAGUGACUUAAUCUCAUUGUGCAUCAGUUUUCUCAUUUGGGAUAUGGGGAUAAUGAUUCCUGCUUCAGAAAACCAGUCUGAGGCUUAAAUAUGUUUUAUAAAAGCAACUUGCAUGUGUGGAAAGGAGGCACCUGGUCCUCUAGCUGGGGUCCCCAACCUCCAGGAUCUAAGGCCUGAUCUGAGAUGGAGCUGAUGUAAUAAUAAUAGAGAUAAAGCAAACAAUAAAAGUAAUGCAUUUGAAUCAUCCCAAAACCAUCCUGCACACCCUGGUCCAUAGAAAAACUGUCUUCCACGAAAUCAGUCCCUGGUGCCAAAAAGGUUGGGGACUGCUG
rnacentral:lncRNA from 1 species